rnacentral:ncRNA from 2 species
AGGAACCUUCGGGGCAGGGUGAAAUUCCCGACCGGCGGUGAUGGCUUCGUGCCUAAGCCCGCGACUCGCCAUGUUGUGGCGACGGAUUUGGUGAGACUCCAAAGCCGACGGUGAAAGUCCGGAUGGGAGAAGGUUCGC